UUCAUCCAAAGCCCUUUAAAUUCCCCCACCCCCUUUCUAAGAUCCACCGCCGUGCCACCUUCAUCCAUCUUCCUCAUCUCUUGCGGCCUUCGUGCCGCCACAAUCAAGCGAAGCCGCCCAAAACCUACCUUCCUCUCUUAAAACCCCCUCCCCAGUUGCUCUGUUUUCCCUAUCCGAGUGUUGCCGUCCGUUUCUUCCCUCCGGAAGCCUCCACCGUCGCGAGAUUUGCCGGACGUAGGUAGAAAUUAUUAUAACAACAAGAGGCUCGAGGGAGACGUGCAGAAGUAGCAACCAAAAAAAGAGAGAUAGAGAUGGAGAAUAACAAGGUUACUUUGCUCCUGGUGGUGACCAUGGUGCUUGUGGCCACCGUUGCUCCUUCUGCCUUCGCCCGCUGUAAGACUAAUGGACUCCCCUCUGAUGCCAAUGGGGUAGCUAGUAACCGGACUCCCCUCUCAAGGAUAAUGCUGGAAGGUGGAGUCAGCAGGAAUGAUGGUUGUCCUGGUUCCUCAUGCAAUAUCCUGAAUGAUCCUUGUUGUAGUGGGUGUAAUUGCCUUCCGGUUGGAAUUUUGGUUGGGGUGUGUGUUGGGUCGUGUUGCUAGAGGAUGGCGAUCGAUGCUUUAUCAUGAAAUAAUCUCGAUCGAGUCUGCAUUGUGUUGUUGGGUAAUGGAAGCUAUGUAAGGCUUCAUGUCCUACUUCGAAUGGUGUUCGAUGCUUUUGCAUUAAAUAAUGUCAACUGAGUCUCUGUGUUGCUGUCUAAAUGGAAGCUAUAUAUAGCAUGUCUGCUUCGAUGUUU